rnacentral:rRNA from 1 species
GACGAACGCUGGCGGCGUGCCUAAUACAUGCAAGUCGAGCGAAGUUUUUCUGGUGCUUGCACUAGAAAAACUUAGCGGCGAACGGGUGAGUAACACGUAAAGAACCUGCCUCAUAGACUGGGACAACUAUUGGAAACGAUAGCUAAUACCGGAUAACAGCAUUAACUGCAUGGUUGAUGUUUAAAAGUUGGUUUUGCUAACACUAUGAGAUGGCUUUGCGGUGCAUUAGCUAGUUGGUGGGGUAAAGGCCUACCAAGGCGACGAUGCAUAGCCGACCUGAGAGGGUGAUCGGCCACACUGGGACUGAGACACGGCCCAGACUCCUACGGGGGGCAGCAGUAGGGAAUCUUCCGCAAUGGGCGAAAGCCUGACGGAGCAACGCCGCGUGAGUGAAGAAGGAUUUCGGUUCGUAAAGCUCUGUUGUUAGGGAAGAAUGAUUGUGUAGUAACUAUACACAGUAGAGACGGUACCUAACCAGAAAGCCACGGCUAACUACGUG